UCAACGGUUCAUCUUAAACACACACAAUUCUCUCUGUCUGUUCAAGAUUAUCACUACAUAUUGUGAAUCUUGUUCAGCCGUUAGUCCGUGUGUGGUUCUAGUUUCAUUGAAGAUCUGUUAAAGAUCUUGUUGAUUUAUUGUAGAUCUACGUGUUUUUGAUCUUUCUGUAUUGUCGGUUGUUUGUGUUAUAGUUUUUCAUACCAUUUUGACAGCUUUUAUAGACUCUCUAAAGCAAUAAUUCCCUUCCGCACAUUAUUACUUUCACUUUACCCUUUUGUUUCCACCUUUGAACAACCUUGGCUAAAAGAAGAAGCCAGCCCUACCUAAGAAACGUUGAACAACAACCUGCUCGGAAGCCCUAACUCUAUUUUCAUAUUAUUAUAUGUUGUGUUGAUAAUUUUUCAUCAUACAUUUCUUCUGUUAAUGUUGUCUUUGAAGAUCUGCACUCCACUAAAGAUAAAUGGUAGUGGCUUUCACCUCAUUCCAUCAACAGUACGACGUUUUUCUGAGCUUUAGAUUUGAAAAUACCGCCUCCCUACGCCACAGGGUUCAGAUACAAAGAACUUAUGGUACAUUACCUAAAGCCCAAAAUUCAAUCCUUCCCUUGCCUAAUUAUCCGAUUGGUUCAUGCAUGAGUACAAACUGGCUAACCCUAUUCAAGGUGUGCAGAACUGGAUGAUCUGUAGGGUGUUUUUGAAGAACAAAGCACGAAAUAAUGCUGUGGAGAAUGUAGAAGUGGUUCAAGUUCGGAAUACAGGGGCGGUUUUUUAUGUUCCAAGAGGCUUUGAUCUGAAUUUGGAUGCCGGUGGUUCAUCAAGCACCGGCUCCAACGGAGUCACAAUAGCAGAUGAUCGGAACAUAGGGGCGGUUUUUUUAUGUUCCAAGAGACUUUGAUCUGAAUUUGGAUGUAGGUGGUUCAUAAAGGACCGGCUCCAAUGGAGUCACAGUAGCAAAUGAUCGGAACACAGGGGCGGUUUUUUAUGUUCCAAGAGACUUUGAUCUGAAUUUGGAUGUCAGUGGUUCAUCAAGCACCGGCUCCAAUGGAGUCACAGUAGCAGAUGAUCGGAACACAGGGGCGGUUUUUUAUGUUCCAAGAGACUUUGAUCUGAAUUUGGAUGUCGGUGGUUCAUCAAGCACCGGCUCCAAUGGAGUCACAGUAGCAGAUGACGAAGAUGAAAUGAACAGUAAAUAGAUUAUUAGCGGAUGAGUUUAAUGAUGUUUAUAUAUAGUGGUGUUAAUGGUGUUCUUAUGGUUGCUCAUGUUAUUCCGGAAGAUGAAUGCUAUGAAUGUAUUGUGGAAAUGUGAGAUAAAUUAA